rnacentral:lncRNA from 1 species
GGGAAGGGUCCUCUUCCAAGCUUGCUCAGUGGCUGUGGGCUGGAUUGAGCUCUUCACUAGCUACUGAACUGAGGGCCUCAGUUUCUCAGAGGCUGUUACCCAAAGGCCUCCCUCAGCUCCCUGCCAUAUGGGCCUCUCCACAGGGCAACUCACCAUAUGGUGGCUGGCUUCACCAGAGCAAGCAAACAAGAAGAGCCCGAGAGAAGACUAACAAGCUGGAAGUCACCAUCCGUCCAACCUAAUCUCGGAAGUGACAUCUCAUCACUCUUGCUGUAUUCUAUCAGGUAGAAGCAAGUCACCAGGUCCAGCCCACCUGCAAGGGGAGGGAAGAGCAAAGCUGUGACCACCAAGAGGAGGAAGAAAUGAUGUCUUCCGGGGAGGCUGCCGGGGCUUCUGUGAGGUCCAGCAAUGAGUUGGAGGCACCAGCACUGC